rnacentral:tRNA from 1 species
GAGUAAUUAAUUCAAUCAGGUAGAAUAUUUCAUUUACACUGAAAAAGUUAUUGGUUCAAGUCCAUAUAUUACUUA